ensembl:lncRNA
AUGUCAGUGGGUGACAUUUUUUCCACAUAGAGGAAUUCAGUGACAUAACUUCCAUGUCAGACAUCAUUUUCUUAGACUGCCCCUCUGCUGCCAUCUGUCAAACAGCAAAAAGAUGUGAUGGAAUAUUGGACCCUGUUUGUGUGAAAGUAACAAACCAUGCUGGAUUGGUGGCAGCAGCUGAAGUUCUUAUUGAGAUCUGAAGGUGAUGUCAGAAGGCAAAGGACAGAUGUUGAAAUCUCUGGAAAUGGUUGUCUGUGCCCUGCUUUCAUGGGCUGCACUGAAGAGGCUGUGUCCCCUUGAUGUUCUCAGGACUCUAAUAAAUGAUGACCCUGAACAUGGUGAAUAUUUGCUUCCUGCUCGUUCUUGAAAGGUGAGUGAAAAGAAUGAUAAAUGAGAUGGCCUACUGCUCUUGCUGUUUCCUUCUGUCUGUAAUACUUCACUUCCUCAUACAGCUGUUCAGCAGCUGAUGGAAAAGUCCUGUUCCAUGCAAUCAGAAAGA